UCAUCUUCUAUGGCAAAGUCUUCAGGACCUUUUCUCUGACUGCUGCCAGAUCCAUUCAACAGGCAGGAUGGCUCGGGACAUGUCAGAUAAAGAGAUCCUAAAGAUGGAGCUGGAUCAGCUGAAGGUGGAAGUGAACACUCCUCGAAUUGCGGUCUCAAAACUACAGCCCCAGAGAUCAUUGCGUUUGUUGAGGGGUUGUCUGCUGAAGACCCGCUGGUCAAAGGUGUCCCAGAAGACAAGAACCCUUUCAAGGAGAAGGGUGGAUGCAUUAUUACAUAGCACUGGCCCUGGACGCACCAGGGCUCUGUUCAAUAACUAGUUUUGUAUAAACCAUCAAUAUUUGUACUAGAAACCAAACUAGGAUUUUGUUGCAGCCGCUUUGUUUUGGAUACUAUACAAGAAGACGCCCUCAUGUCAUUC